UCACAUGACGUGGCGAAUCGGACGCCGUCGGGACGUGCGUGCGGUUCGCGCUCUGUCUCUCCCGGACCGACGUCGAGGCAGCUGCACGCUUGCUCUCGCGGUGCUGUAGAGGCUAAUGUAGAGAUCAACAUGUCUGGCUGUUGAGUCACUAUUUUAAUCGCCGCAGAGAGCGAGACCCUUUUUUUGUUGUUGCUGUCGUUUGGUUAGUGGAUCGUGUAUUCUACAAAAAAAAGACGAACGAGAGCUGUUGCCUGGACGGACGAGAGCCGUGAAACCUGCAUUUGUGCCGGAGAAUAUAUGUGUGUGCGUGUGAUACCUGAGCCUCUGGCCGGGUCUUUUUCUUUUCUAUAUUCUUUUCUCUAUAUGGUUCCUGUUUCAAGAUCUACAUGAAGACUUCUUCUACUGAGACUCUCCCAGUUCUGUAAGGUAGAGGGGACUCAGUAGUCGUGGCGAGCUACCCAAAAUAAAGCUGUGUAUUAGUGAGUUAGGAUUUGGACUGUGAAUUGUGAUUUGAUAUCUUGUGUGUGUUGACAUUUUAUUUUUUUAUGAUUUUUAUUUUCCUCAUUCCCUUUACCCAAUACAAUUUAACACGUAAAACUUA